rnacentral:rRNA from 1 species
UACGAAGGGGGCUAGCGUUGCUCGGAAUCACUGGGCGUAAAGCGCACGUAGGCGGACUCUUAAGUCGGUGGUGAAAUCCUGGAGCUCAACUCCAGAACUGCCUUCGAUACUGAGAGUCUCGAGUCCGAGAGAGGUGAGUGGAACUGCGAGUGUAGAGGUGAAAUUCGUAGAUAUUCGCAAGAACACCAGUGGCGAAGGCGGCUCACUGGCUCGGUACUGACGCUGAGGUGCGAAAGCGUGGGGAGCAAACAGGAUAGAA